rnacentral:rRNA from 1 species
GUAGGUGGCAAGCGUUGUCCGGGAAUUAUUGGGGCGUAAAGCGCGCGCAGGCGGUUCUUUAAGUCUGAUGUGAAAGCCCACUGCUCAACCGUGGAGGGUCAUUGGAAACUGGAGAACUUGAGUACAGAAGAGGAAAGCGGAAUUCCACGUGUAGCGGUGAAAUGCGUAGAGAUGUGGAGGAACACCAGUGGCGAAGGCGGCUUUCUGGUCUGUAACUGACGCUGAGGCGCGAAAGCGUGGGGAGCAAACAGGAUUAGAUACCCUGGUAGUCCACGCCGUAAACGAUGAGUGCUAAGUGUUAGGGGGUUUCCGCCCCUUAGUGCUGCAGCUAACGCAUUAAGCACUCCGCCUGGGGAGUACGGCCGCAAAGGCUGA